rnacentral:rRNA from 1 species
GAUGAACGCUAGCUACAGGCUUAACACAUGCAAGUCGCAGGACUGGCGCACGGGUGAGUAACGCGUAUCCAACCUUCCCAUGACCACGGGAUAACCCGUUGAAAGACGGACUAAUACCGUAUGGUAAUGGAUGGGGAUGCGUCGGAUUAGCUUUAUGGCGGGGUAACGGCCCACCAAGGCGACGGUCAGUAGGGGUUCUGCGAGGAAGGGCCCCCACAUUGGAAUUGAGACACGGUCCAAACUCCUACGGGAGGCAGCAGUGAGGAAUAUUGGUCAAUGGGCGAGAGCCUGAACCAGCCAAUUAGCGUGUAGGACGACGGCCUAUGGGUUGUAAACGGCUUUUAUGAGGGGAUAGGUACCGCAUGAAUAAGGACCGGCUAAUUCCGUGCCAGCAGCCGCGGUAAUAC